rnacentral:rRNA from 1 species
UGGGGAAUAUUGCACAAUGGGGAAACCCUGAUGCAGCGACACCGCGUGAGCGAAGAAGGUUUUCGAAUCGUAAAGCUCUGUCCUAUGGGAAGAUAAUGACGGUACCAUAGGAGGAAGCCCCGGCUAACUACGUGCCAGCAGCCGCGGUAAUACGUAGGGGGCAAGCGUUGUCCGGAAUCACUGGGCGUAAAGGGUUCGCAGGCGGAAAUGCAAGUCAGUUGUGAAAGGCAGAGGCUCAACCUCUGUAAGCAAUUGAAACUGUAUUUCUUGAGAUGUGGAGAGGCAAGUGGAAUUCCUAGUGUAGCGGUGAAAUGCGUAGAUAUUAGGAAGAAUACCGGUGGCGAAGGCGACUUGCUGGACACAAACUGACGCUGAGGAACGAAAGCGUGGGUAGCAAACAGG